rnacentral:lncRNA from 1 species
UCUAUUCUGCUAAACAGACAUGUUAUCAAAUGCCUCCUGUAUCUUAUGUUUAUUCCCAUAGAUUAGUGCUGCCCUCAACAUUAGCUGGAGAAACCUCUCUAUACAGUUGCCCAGUGGUCAAUUAAGAGAUUUCUAAUUCGUCAAAGAGCUGAGGGUGAGAACAGUGCUCAACUCUAAAUGGGACAGCUAUAUCUACCCUACCUGAAGCUCGGGAAACACUGAAAAGGCUAUCACAGGUAAAAUUUACCUUUUGUUUCCGAAGAGACUCUGCACUUCUAAACAGUGUUGGAACUGUUAAAAAGCACGGGGGCUUUUGACGUUGGAUUGAACACGUUUUACACUAUGAGAUGGCCAGGAGCCUGUGGUGACAAGAAGUAGAAGGUUAUGGGCUAAAAGCAGCAUUCUGAGGUGUCAAGUUGACAAAGGAUAGACUUAGGAAGUUUGACAGAAUCAAGAAUCCUCUAGGAGACAAACUCGGACAUGUCUGUGAGGACUUUUCUAGUCUUGGUUAAUUGAGGUGGGAAGACUGAUGGGGUUUUUUUUGGGGGGGGGGAUUGGAUAUUUUCUUUAUUUACAUUUCAAAUGCUUUCGCCUUUCCAGGUCUCCCUUUGGAGGGAAGACUCAUCUUAAAUGUGCACACCACCAUCCCAAGGACCAGGGGCUCAUAUUACAUGGAAGAAGGACCCAUGCUGAGCUUCAGCCUUCAUUCCUUUAAGCUUCCCGGCCAUGAACACAAUGUGACUUAUGCUCUGGCUGACAUGACUUUUUGACCACGGUGCACCCUUGAGCUGUGACCCAAAAUAAACCCUUUCUCCCUUAAGUUGCUUUUGUCAGAAUUCUUCUGCAGCAACGGAAGUAACCGAGGUCAAAGGCAUAAGUAGUAUUAGCAUUUGCUUUACACUGUUUUGUUUAGAUUAAGGCUAUAUCUCAGUUAGCAGAACAUUUGUGCAAGAAUCACAAGAGAAGCCUAGAGUUUCCUCUCUAGUCUUGGAGGUGGGGAGCAACCAAAAGGGUGACACUUCACUCUUACUUCAUUUUUCCCAAGAAUGCCUUUUUUGUAUCUUUAAAGAAAAUUCUUUCUUUAUAAAGAUAUCUUUCUUGACACCUCCUAGAAGUCCACUGGUGUAUAUAAAGAAAAUAGCUUCAAAGCCCACAUUAUGCAUCAGAGUAUGGGUUAAAAGUGUUUUAAAG